rnacentral:rRNA from 1 species
GCUAUACAUGCAGUCGAGCGGACAGAUGGGAGCUUGCUCCCUGAUGUUAGCGGCGGACGGGUGAGUAACACGUGGGUAACCUGCCUGUAAGACUGGGAUAACUCCGGGAAACCGGGGCUAAUACCGGAUGCUUGUUUGAACCGCAUGGUUCAAACAUAAAAGGUGGCUUCGGCUACCACUUACAGAUGGACCCGCGGCGCAUUAGCUAGUUGGUGAGGUAAUGGCUCACCAAGGCGACGAUGCGUAGCCGACCUGAGAGGGUGAUCGGCCACACUGGGACUGAGACACGGCCCAGACUCCUACGGGAGGCAGCAGUAGGGAAUCUUCCGCAAUGGACGAAAGUCUGACGGAGCAACGCCGCGUGAGUGAUGAAGGUUUUCGGAUCGUAAAGCUCUGUUGUUAGGGAAGAACAAGUACCGUUCGAAUAGGGCGGUACCUUGACGGUACCUAACCAGAAAGCCACGGCUAACUACGUGCCAGCAGCCGCGGUAAUACGUAGGUGGCAAGCGUUGUCCGGAAUUAUUGGGCGUAAAGGGCUCGCAGGCGGUUUCUUAAGUCUGAUGUGAAAGCCCCCGGCUCAACCGGGGAGGGUCAUUGGAAACUGGGGAACUUGAGUGCAGAAGAGGAGAGUGGAAUUCCACGUGUAGCGGUGAAAUGCGUAGAGAUGUGGAGGAACACCAGUGGCGAAGGCGACUCUCUGGUCUGUAACUGACGCUGAGGAGCGAAAGCGUGGGGAGCGAACAGGAUUAGAUACCCUGGUAGUCCACGCCGUAAACGAUGAGUGCUAAGUGUUUAGGGGGUUUCCGCCCCUUAGUGCUGCAGCUAACGCAUUAAGCACUCCGCCUGGGGGAGUACGGUCGCAAGACUGAAACUCAAAGGAAUUGACGGGGGCCCGCACAAGCGGUGGAGCAUGUGGUUUAAUUCGAAGCAACGCGAAGAACCUUACCAGGUCUUGACAUCCUCUGACAAUCCUAGAGAAUAGGACGUCCCCUUCGGGGGCAAAGGGACAGGUGGGGGCAUGGGUUGUCGUCAGCUCCGGGCCGGAGAAGGUUGGGUUAAGUCCCGCAACGAACGCAACCCUUGAUCUUAGUUGCCAGCAUUCAGUUGGGGACUCUAAGGGGACUGCCGGU